rnacentral:rRNA from 1 species
AUGAACGCUGGCGGCGUGCCUAAUACAUGCAAGUCGAGCGAACAGACGAGGAGCUUGCUCCUUUGACGUUAGCGGCGGACGGGUGAGUAACACGUGGAUAACCUACCUAUAAGACUGGGAUAACUUCGGGAAACCGGAGCUAAUACCGGAUAACAUGUUGAACCGCAUGGUUCAACAGUGAAAGACGGUCUUGCUGUCACUUAUAGAUGGAUCCGCGCCGCAUUAGCUAGUUGGUAAGGUAACGGCUUACCAAGGCAACGAUGCGUAGCCGACCUGAGAGGGUGAUCGGCCACACUGGAACUGAGACGCGGUCCAGACUCCUACGGGAGGCAGCAGUAGGGAAUCUUCCGCAAUGGGCGAAAGCCUGACGGAGCAACGCCGCGUGAGUGAAGAAGGUCUUCGGAUCGUAAAACUCUGUUAUUAGGGAAGAACAAAUGUGUAAGUAACUAUGCACGUCUUGACGGUACCUAAUCAGAAAGCCACGGCUAACUACGUG